AAGAAAAGGGAGUGAAAGGAGAGGGCGUUUCUGGAAUAAAGUCUCCGUUAAAUCCACAUAAGAUUUUUGUGUGUGUUUACGAUGGAAGGAGAUAUAAAACAAGGGUCAAGAAAGAAAACCUCCGCACAAGAGUUCCAUACGAAUCCAUGACCUGUUCCAAGGUUGCGGUAACCAUCAGCCAGGAGCUAAGGAGCCAUAAGUGUUUUCCAUGCAAAGCUUUGACAGGCACAGGAUUCAGCAGCAGAGGGAAGGAGAAUCCAUGAUGUGAGAUGAGAUGAGAAUCCAUCACUGAAAAUCAUUCUUGCCCGCCCCUUUGCACAUUGCACAAUAGAAAAACUCUUCUGUCAGUACAUUAUUCAUCUGGAUGCUGGCACUUGUAAUUGAUUAAAUUACAACUGGGCUCUUGAAAAUACAAAUAUGCCGAACUCCUUUUAGAACUGUAAAGUAUGUAUGUUGGGGGGAUGUUGUUGUAUGCAGUAUGCACAUAUGCUGGUGAUGCACCAAAUUUUCAUUGCUUGGUUAUCAUUAAGAACAUUGUCAUUCUCUCUCUCUCUCUCUCUCUCUUUCUCUCUCUCUCUCUCUCUCACACACACACACACACACACACACACACUCACACUCUCAUACCUAGCACUAAUAUCCACAUUUCUGGCACCUGAUUAUAGCCAUUGGUUUCCCAAUUUGCUGCUGCUUUGUCAAGAUUUAUUUAUUGUUUUA